CAGUCUGCGCGCGGCUGGCAAGAUGGCGGCAGCUGUCGUGCGGAGGCUGUCGGGGAUUUUAAGACCUCUGAAUUUUCUGGUCCCUUUGGCCUACAACAGCUCCUGCAACAUCCGUCUUAUUUCUGGACUCUCCAUACGAUGUUUCAACCGGGUGCAGGCACCAUUAGCUUCCUCUGCUACGAAACCUCUGUUGUCUGUUAGUGAUCGGUCAUGUGGGUGUCCUCUCUCCAUCUUUAACAGUGUAACAGCCUUACUGCCACAUGUCCUUCAGCAGCCAGCGAGGACUCUCACAUAUUAUAGCCUUCGAAAAGGAAAGAGGAAAUCUGUAAAAUCUGUGGUCUAUAGAUUUCUCCGACUGCACUGUGGCCUUUGGUUAAGGAAAAAAGCUGGUUACAAGAAAAAAUUAUGGAAAAAGUCUAUUCGCCAGAAAAGACGCUUGAGGGAACAAGUGUUUUGCAAUAAAACUCAAAGUAAACUCCUUGAUAAAAUGACCACUUCUUUCUGGAAGAGAAGAAACUGGGUGACAGAAGUGCACACAAUAAACAGUAAUGUCCCUUGCAGCCCAACCCUCCAUUCAUGGCACACUCAAAACAAAGGACCUUUCCCUCCCACCAGGAUAAAGAGCAAAGGAAAGGAUAUGACCUAGGUCUGGCAAGGAACUGAUCUAAUUGAUGUGGUGCUGAAAACAGUGUUGACAGCCAACCCCCAACUACAGGGCAUGUCUACACUCCAGCUGCUACAGGGGCACAGCUACUGCUGAGACCCCAAUGCUACUCUGCACACUACUGUGGAUACCUCCCAGGAGCCCGAGACACAGCCCCGGGUGUGAAAAGUGAGGACAAGGAGGAUGGGGGACAUGUGACUGGGGGAUCCAACUAUGCCAUGAACCAGGACCUGUUUGAGACUCCAGUGAAGUCUAGUCAGUCCCACCAGUCGAGCAUAAGUGAGCCCGAUGCUGGGGAAGGAACCUUGGGCCUUGAGGGGUGCCCCCUCCACACCCGGGGAACACCUGAGCCCGAUAAAGAGGAGAAAGAAGAGGACUCGAGAUGACGUGUUCAGUGAGAUCCUACAAGCCAGUGCUGCAUCAGACCAUGACCAGAGGAUCUGGAGGAUGAAUAUUGCAAACUAUAUGGAGAAGGAAAGAGUGGACAGGAGAAAGGCCCAGGAGUCAGAGAGGGAGAUGCACUGGAAUAUAAUGGGGCUUCUCUGGCAGCAAACAUGGAUGCUGCAGACUCUUGUGGACCUACAGGUUCAAAAAUCCCUUUGCAGUCCAUGGAGAGCUCCAUCACAGCACCUCCCUAUAUCCCAAUCAACAUUUCACGUGGCAUCAGGGGCCGCAUCCGUACUGCACACCGGGGGACAUUAAGUACAACCACAGCUUCAAAUACACUGAGCUGUGAGAGCCACGAUGUAGUAUGUGUAACUAUAAUGGACAUGAGUGUUACUUCCCAUUCUUUAAGCUCUGUUCCAAAAAUUUGUUAAGGUUUUAAUGCAGUGGUUCCCAAACUAGGGGUGCCGCUUGCUCAGGGAAAGCCCCUGGCGGGCCGGGCUGGUUUGUUUACCUGCAGCGUCCGCAGUUUCAGCCCAUCACAGCUCCCACUGGCC